rnacentral:rRNA from 1 species
GAUGGAGCAAGCGGUAUACGUAUUUACUGGGUGGAUAGGGAGCGGAGACGGAGGUGCAAGUAUGAUGUGAAAGGCGGGGGCUCAACGCCUGGACUGCAUUGGACGCUGGUCGUCUGGAGUGCCGGAGAGGUAUGUGUUUUUUUAAGGGUAGCGGUGCCAUGCGUAG